UUCGUUACUUGCAUUCUUUUGGGAAUAGUUUCCGCAAACGAGGACGAUGACUCUUCCCUCGAAAAGCAAGAUAUCAGAUAUGAAUAUAAGUCCAAGUGUACAGCCGAAUCUCCAAGCAACUGCCGACAUCACGAGCUGCAGGAAAUGGUGAUAGAACUUUUGAAAUUAACAAAAGAUCCUCCUAGUGACACGCCCAUCAAAGAUUGGUUUGGAAAAGUAUGGAGCUCGAUACGCAAUGCCGUAUCAAAGAUUAUACCCAAAAGGUUUAAAAAAGGCGAUUAAUCAUCGUUUCAGAUCAUCAUUGGCAGAUCUUUCUUUAAUUCUAUGUUUCAAGAACAUAUGUAUGUACCAUAGUAUAUAAAUAAAUAUGUACUAGUUCUGCCAA